GGGCGUUUAACUCAGCGGUAGAGUGCAAUCCUCACACGGUUGAAGCCACUGGUUCAAGUCCAGUAACGCCCA
rnacentral:tRNA from 2 species